rnacentral:rRNA from 1 species
CUCCAGACUCCUACGGGAGGCAGCAGUGGGGAAUAUUGCGCAAUGGGGGGAACCCUGACGCAGCAACGCCGCGUGCAGGAAGAAGGUCUUCGGAUUGUAAACUGUUGUCGCAGGGGAAGAAGACAGUGACGGUACCCUGUGAGAAAGUCACGGCUAACUACGUGCCAGCAGCCGCGGUAAUACGUAGGUGACAAGCGUUGUCCGGAUUUACUGGGUGUAAAGGGAGCGUAGACGGGCCAGCAAGUCUGAUGUGAAAACCCGGGGCCCAACCCCGGGAGUGCAUUGGAAACUGCGGGCCUGGAGUGCCGGAGAGGUAAGCGGAAUUCCUAGUGUAGCGGUGAAAUGCGUAGAUAUUAGGAGGAACACCAGUGGCGAAGGCGGCUUACUGGACGGUAACUGACGUUGAGGCUCGAAAGCGUGGGGAGCAAACAGGAUUAGAUACCCGUGUA